rnacentral:rRNA from 1 species
CCCACCCCGUACCGGGAGAUAACCCGCGGAAACGUGGACUAACAUCCCAUAAGGCCGCAUGGCUAAAAUUCCGGGGUACGGGACGGGCACGCGCGACAUUAGGUAGUUGGCGGGGUAACGGCCCACCAAGCCGACGAUGUCUAGGGGUUCUGAGAGGAAGGUCCCCCACACUGGAACUGAGACACGGUCCAGACUCCUACGGGAGGCAGCAGUGAGGAAUAUUGGUCAAUGGGCGAGAGCCUGAACCAGCCAAGUCGCGUGAGGGAAGAAUGGUUAUGGCCUGUAAACCUCUUUUGUCAAGGAAGAAAGACGGCACGCGUGCUGUUUUGCCAGUACUUGACGAAUAAGCAUCGGCUAACUCCGUGCCAGCAGCCGCGGUAAUACGGGGGAUGCGAGCGUUAUCCGGAUUUAUUGGGUUUAAAGGGCGCGUAGGCGGGACGCCAAGUCAGCGGUAAAAGACUGCAGCUAAACUGUAGCACGCCGUUGAAACUGGCGACCUCGAGACGAGACGAGGGAGGCGGAACAAGUGAAGUAGCGGUGAAAUGCUUAGAUAUCACUUGGAACCCCGAUAGCGAA